CAUCUGGGGACACUUGGAGGACCCCGGUGCCAUUGGGUCCCCCCGGUGCCGCUAGGGGGCGCUGUGGCCGCGCUCCUCUCGGUGUUUUACUGCGGAAUAAAACCAAGGGGAAAUUUUCAGAGGAUUCCGCGCCCCGCGUCCCGCGCGCUCAGCGCCCAGUUCGUCCCAGUUCAUCCCAGUUCCCUCCCAGUACCCUGCAGUCCUUCCCAGUUCCGCCCCAGUACCCCACAGUUUCUCCCAGUACGCUGCAGUUUUCCCAGUACUCCCCGAUUCUUUCCAGUCCUUCCCAGUUCCCUCCCAGUCCAUCCCAGUACCCUGCAGUUCCCUCCCAGUUCCCUCCCAGUCCAUCCCAGUACUGCCCAGUUCCCUCCCACUUCAUCUCAGUACCCUGCACUUCCCUCCCAGUUCAUCCCAGUACCCUGCAGUUCAUCCCAGUUCCACCCCAGUUCCCUCCCAGUUCCCUCCCAGUACUCCCCAGUUCUUCCCAGUCCUUCCCAGUUCCCUCCUACUCUCUCCCAGUUCCAUCCACUCCUUCCCAGUACCCUCCAGUUCUUCCCAGUUCCCCUUCAGUCCCUGCCAGUACCAUCCCAGUUCCCUACCAGUUCCUUCCCAGUACCUUCCAGUUCCCUCCAGUCCCUCCCAGUUCUUUCCAGUACCCUCCAGUCCCACCCAGUACUCCCCAAUCCCUCCCAGUUCCCCCCAGUUUUCUCCCAGUCCUUCCCAGUUCCCUCCCAGUUCUUCCCAGAACUCCCCAGUUCCUUCCCAGUCCCUCCCACUUCCUUCCCAGUACCCUCCAGUUCCUCCCAGUUCUUUCCAGUUCCUCCCAGUACCCCAGUCGUACCACGUUCCCUCCCAGUACGCACUCGGUUCUUCCCAGUACCCCCUAGCUCCCUCCCAGUACCCCCCAGUUCCCUCCCAGUUCUCACCCAGUUCCUCCCAGUACCCCCAGUUCCUCCCAGUUCCCUCAUAGUUCCUCCAGUCCCUCCGAGUUCUCUCCCAGUUCUUUCCAAUACCUCCCAGUUCCUCCCAGUCCCUCCCAGUCCUCCCAGUACCCUCCAGUCGCUUCCAGUUCCUUCCCAGUCCCUCCCAGUACCCUCCAGUUCCUCCCAGUUCUUUCCAGUACCUCCCAGUACCCAGUCCUACCACGUUCCCUCCCAGUACCCCCCAGUUCCCUCCCAGUUCUUUCCAGUCCCUCCCAUUUCCCCAGUUCCUCCCAGUCCUCCCAGUACCCUCCCAGUUCCCUCCUUAUUCCUCCUAGUACCUUCCAGUCCCUCCCAGUACCCCCCCCCAGUUCCCUCCCAGUCCCUCCAUGUCACUUACAGCUCCUCCCAGUCCCCUCCAAUUCCCUCCCCAGUUCCUCCCAGUCCUCCCAGUACCCUCCCAGUUGCUCCCAUUUCCCUCCCAGUUCCUCUCAGUUCCCCCCCAGUUCCCUUCCUAUCCCUCCCAGUCCCUCCCAGUCCCCACCGGUUCCUCCCAGUACCCUCCAGUCCCUCCCAGUACCCUCCAGUUCCCUCCGCAACCACACGUGACAUCACCUGA
rnacentral:lncRNA from 1 species